CGGGGUAUAGCGCAGCCUGGUAGCGCGCAUCCUUGGGGUGGAUGAGGCCGUGGGUUCAAAUCCCGCUACUCCGACCA
rnacentral:tRNA from 1 species